rnacentral:snoRNA from 2 species
GCGCUCAAACAUUAAUCGGUGGCCUGAUCCACACGUCGGCCACAUUUAUGCACGCAGCGCCAGAUAAUAGUAGGCAGCAUUUAAUAAUGUAUUGGUUCCAAAUGACUCAGACUUUUGCAUUUUGAGGUGUUAGCCACA